AACAUAGAAGUAAAAUUUACACUUAGCUUCGACCUAAACUUUGGGAUUUAAAAAACCUCAUGUUU
rnacentral:tRNA from 1 species